CCAAUAUGACUCAUUUUAUAAUUUAUCUGAGAAAAAAUUCAAAUAGAGCCCACAUUUAGAUAGUGCAAGUUUCCUUUAGUUGUUUUUCACUGUCUAGGUUCCUGAUGGGGAGCAAAAAUAAAGACACACAGCACACUGGGUAGCAAGGACAAAGCACUGGGCCAGUGCUGGGGCGGGCAGGGUAAGAGAGAAAGAGAAAGAGCUCAGCCUUGGGUUCCCCUGCACCAAAUGAGGCUGCACUUGAACCUGCAGGACCCAUCCAUCCUUCAGGGCCAAGAGGGAGCAGCAAAGAGAUAAACAACUGAGAAAAGCAGAUCUGUGGACAGAGGUGCUUCAGCUUACUGGACUUGACUCCUUUUCCCACUCACAGGGGGUCACCUUUCACCUCUUUGUCCAGGUAGAAGAAACCACCUGGCCCCAUUGCAAAGGUGGCAGCGCGCCAGGCACGAUCACCAGGUGCCAUGGGAUUGCAGGGGUCGGGGCCUCUACCGCAAGGAGGGAGAGCGGAGCCGAGAGACCCUGACCGAGUCUGGAAGAGCUGGACCAUGUAGCGAGGGCAGCUCCGCAGUGCGGAGAUCAGCAUGGUGGAUGCCUCGCCUCAGGGGUCCUGCUCCACACCCUGGAGGGAGGAAUGCUGCACAAAGGGGCCAAAAGGAUGCUGAAGCAGACAGGUUGCUAUUCAUGUCCCCCAGUCCAUUAGCACUAGCUAUGCAAUGAAGUCUCCAUAACAACCUAAAAAAGACAGGGGCUUCAAAUGAACAUACGGCAGCUCAAAAGAAGGCAAAGGAGAGCUCAUCACAUGCCCAGAGAGUGGCACACCCCAAAUCCCAGGGAUAGAAGCUCCUGUACAUGGGACCCUUCCUGACCUUGUCCUACAUACCUCUUCAUCUGGCAGCUUUUUUGUAUCCUUUAAAAUGCUAGGCAGAAAAACAGAUGUGCAAAUCAAUAGGACAAAAUAAAAGAUACAGAAAUAACCCCAGGCACAUUCAGCCAUCUGAGCUUUGACAAAGGGGCCAAAAACAUAAACUGGAGGAAAAAUAGCCUCUUUAACAAAUGGUGCUGGGAAAACUGGUUACACACAAGCAGAAGACUGAAUUGAGAUCCAUAUCUAUCACCAUGUACUAUAAUAAAAUCAAAAUGGAUCAAACACCUAAAUAUUAAAACAGAAACAUUGAACGUAUUGGAAAAUAAAACAGGUAAAACUCUUGAAAGUAUAAAUGUAGGCAGAGAGCCCCAACUGCACAAGAAAUAACAUCAAGAAUCAACAAAUGGGAUUAUAUCACAUUAAAAAGCUUCUGCACAGUAAAGGAAACAACAAACAGCCUACU
rnacentral:lncRNA from 1 species